GAUGAAGAACGCAGCGAAAUGCGAUAAGUAGUGUGAAUUGCAGAAUUCAGUGAAUCAUCGAAUCUUUGAACGCACAUUGCGCCCCUUGGUAUCCCGAGGGGCAUGCCUGUUCGAGCGUCAUUUCACCACUCAAGCCUGGCUUGGUGUUGGGCGACGUCCUCUUUGGGGACGCGCCUCGAAACGCUCGGCGGCGUGGCACCGGCUUUAAGCGUAGCAGAAUCUUUCGCUUUGGAAGUCGGGGCCCCGUCUGCCGGACGACCUGCUCGCAAGGUUGACUUCGGAUCAGGCAGGGAUACCCGCUGAACUUAAGCAUAUCAAUAAGCGGAGGA
rnacentral:misc_RNA from 1 species